rnacentral:rRNA from 1 species
GCGGUGGAGCAUGUGGUUUAAUUCGAAGCAACGCGAAGAACCUUACCAGGUCUUGACAUCCCUGACAACCAGAGAUUGGGCGUUCCCCUUCGGGGGACAGGGUGACGGGUGGUGCAUGGUUGUCGUCAGCUCGUGUCGUGAGAUGUUGGGUUAAGUCCCGCAACGAGCGCAACCCUCGCCUCUAGUUGCCAGCAUUCGGUUGGGCACUCUAGAGGGACUGCCGGCGACAAGUCGGAGGAAGUGGGAUGACGUCAAAUCAUCAUGCCCCUUAUGACCUGGGCUACACACGUGCUACAAUGGGCGGUACAAAGGGCUGCGAACCCGCGAGGGGGAGCGAAUCCCAAAAAGCCGCUCUCAGUUCGGAUUGCAGGCUGCAACUCGCCUGCAUGAAGCCGGAAUCGCUAGUAAUCGCGGAUCAGCAUGCCGCGGUGAAUACGUUCCCGGGCCUU